AAGUAGGUAGUGUAUUUUAGCAUGUACGAUUUCGGCUCGUAAAGUGAAAUUUUUCUCUACUUU
rnacentral:tRNA from 1 species